rnacentral:rRNA from 1 species
CAGCCGCCGCGGUAAUACGAAGGGUGCAAGCGUUAAUCGGAAUUACUGGGCGUAAAGGGCGUGUAGGCGGCCUGGGGCGUCCCAUGUGAAAGGCCACGGCUCAACCGUGGAGGAGCGUGGGAUACGCUCAGGCUAGAGGGUGGGAGAGGGUGGUGGAAUUCCCGGAGUAGCGGUGAAAUGCGCAGAUACCGGGAGGAACGCCGAUGGCGAAGGCAGCCACCUGGUCCACUUCUGACGCUGAGGCGCGAAAGCGUGGGGAGCAAACCGGAUUAGAUACCCCCGUAGUCCCUGUCUCUUAUAC